rnacentral:rRNA from 1 species
CAGUCGCCACGGGAAAACGUAGGGCGCAAGCGUUGUCCGGAAUUAUUGGGCGUAAAGAGCUCGUAGGCGGUCUGUCGCGUCUGGUGUGAAAUCCCGAGGCUCAACCUCGGGCUUGCAUCGGGUACGGGCAGACUAGAGUGCGGUAGGGGAGACUGGAAUUCCUGGUGUAGCGGUGGAAUGCGCAGAUAUCAGGAGGAACACCGAUGGCGAAGGCAGGUCUCUGGGCCGCAACUGACGCUGAGGAGCGAAAGCAUGGGGAGCGAACAGGAUUAGAUACCCCAGUAGUCCCUGUCUCUUAUAC